CGUUGCUCGGAAUUAUUGGGCGUAAAGCGCACGUAGGCGGCUUUGCAAGUCGGAUGUGAAAUCCCUCGGCUUAACCAAGGAAGUGCAUCCGAAACUGCAGAGCUUGAGUACUUAAGAGGAUCGCGGAAUUCCCGGUGUAGAGGUGAAAUUCGUAGAUAUCGGGAGGAACACCAGUGGCGAAGGCGGCGAUCUGGGAAGAUACUGACGCUGAGGUGCGAAAGCGUGGGGAGCAAACAGG
rnacentral:rRNA from 1 species